AGUUUCAGACCUGAUGGCAGGACAUCUGGACCCAUAUGGGGCUGUUGAUCUGUGUUUGAGGAAUUAGCCUGGAAGAUCUCUCUCUCCUCCAAUCCUCAGUAUUGUUUCUCCAUAUGGAAUCUGCAGUUGUUCAUUACAACAUCACUUCAUUCGGACUGAAGGAUACAGAUGAAAGAUAACAGUCAUUGCAGGAAAAAAGAAAAGUUGGGAACAGCACUGCCUCAUUUUCACACAGACUCACCCUGUGUCCGGUGCACCACCAAGUCGACUUUGCCAUAGGUGCCCUUCCCCAAAGCACCGAUCAGCUCAUACUGCUGUUCUAC